rnacentral:sRNA from 1 species
UGUUGGUGAAAUCUUGGUCAGGGAUGC